GUUGCAUGUAGCUCAGUGGCAGAGCGCUUGCCUAGCAUGUGUGAGGCACUGGGUUUGAUCCUCAGCACCACA
rnacentral:tRNA from 1 species